CUUGUAAACUGGAAGCGGGCCUACUCCCCCAAGAUUGUUGGUGGGUUAGGUAUCAAGAACAUCGAAUAUUUCAGGCGGGCCUUGCGCUUUAGAUGGGAAUGGUUCAGAUGGUUUGACGUCGAUCGACCGUGGAAAGGAUCUCCUACCCCAUGUGACGCCAUUGAUAGACAGUUGUUCUCGAGCUUCUCCUCUAUUCAGUUGGGUAAUGGUUGGCUUGCGCUGUUCUGGAUGGAUAGAUGGAUGCAUGGGAAGGCCCCUUAUAUGAUUGCACCGGAGAUUUUCAAGUUGGCGCGUUUCAAGAAAAUUACUGUCAAAGAAGCUUUGACAAACGACGGAUGGAUGCAAGGGCUGCAAAGAAUGAACAACGAGGAGCAGCUAGCGCAAUUUGUCGGAAUUUGGGAGGAGGUUCAGCUGGUGAGCCCUUCAGAAGCAAAGGAUGUGAUCAGCGGGUCACUCACAGCAAACGGCUCCUACUCUGCGAGCUCUACGUAUGGUAUCUAGUUUGCGGCCAGGAUCGAGCAGCCGGAUCUUGAGAGAAUAUGGAGAUGCAAGAUGGAGGGGAAGGUCAAAUUUUACCUCUCGAUCACAGAUUGGUGGAGAAGACUAUGCUCCCGACGCGGUCCGGUGAGCAAGGUGCAGGAGGAUAUCACGUUGGCAGCCUACAUUGCAUGGCACCUGUGGAAGGAACGCAACAGGAGGAUCUUUCAAUAGAAGGAAUUGAUUGUGUUCAUGUUGGCUGAUUUAAUUAGAGAUGAUGUAAAAUUAUACUAUGAGGCGAAUGGUCAGGGUCAGGUUAUUGCAUAA
rnacentral:rRNA from 1 species